AGCGAACGCUGGCGGCAGGCUUAACACAUGCAAGUCGAGCGGGCGUAGCAAUACGUCAGCGGCAGACGGGUGAGUAACGCGUGGGAACAUACCUUUUGGUUCGGAACAACACAGGGAAACUUGUGCUAAUACCGGAUAAGCCCUUACGGGGAAAGAUUUAUCGCCGAAAGAUUGGCCCGCGUCUGAUUAGCUAGUUGGUGAGGUAACGGCUCACCAAGGCGACGAUCAGUAGCUGGCUGAGAGGAUGAUCAGCCACAUUGGGACUGAGACACGGCCCAAACUCCUACGGGAGGCAGCAGUGGGGAAUAUUGGACAAUGGGCGAAAGCCUGAUCCAGCCAUGCCGCGUGAGUGAUGAAGGCCCUAGGGUUGUAAAGCUCUUUUGUGCGGGAAGG
rnacentral:rRNA from 1 species